rnacentral:rRNA from 1 species
UAAGGAAUAUUGGUCAAUGGACGCAAGUCUGAACCAGCCAUGCCGCGUGAAGGAUGAAGGUCCUCUGGAUUGUAAACUUCUUUUAUCUGGGACGAAAACGGGAUUUUUAUCUCAAUUGACGGUACCAGAGGAAUAAGCCCCGGCGAACUUCGUGCCAGCAGCCGCGGUAAUACGGAGGGGGCUAGCGUUGUUCGGAUUUACUGGGCGUAAAGCGCACGUAGGCGGAUUGUUAAGUCAGGGGUGAAAUCCCGGAGCUCAACUCCGGAACUGCCUUUGAUACUGGCAAUCUUGAGGCUGGAAGAGGUGGGUAGAAUUCCCAGUGUAGAGGUGAAAUUCGUAGAUAUUGGGAAGAAUACCAGUGGCGAAGGCGGCCAACUGGUCCAGAUCUGACGCUGAGGUGCGAAAGCGUGGGGAGCGAACA